AAAAAAACAGUUUAAGUCAACCUCUUGUUCCAUCGGGUCUUCGUAUACCUCUCUCCUUAGGAUCUGCACUGGAACCCUUUCCUCAAGUAAUCUCUAUCACGCAUCUCCUGAUCAAGUUUUGAUGGAUACCAAUGAUGAGAGAGCUCCUCUAGGGGGAGAACCUUCAACGGGCGCUGGUGAUUGGAGGACCCAAUUGCAGCUAGAUUCACGACGCAGAAUUGUCUACAAGAUGCAAGUAUAGUUUGAAGUAGAAUGAAAAUCUAGAAAUCAUGGACCUCAGUGAAUGAAGAAAAAUUUACCAAUGUAAUAUUCUCUUUUACAUUUUUUGAAAAAUAUGAGAAAUAGGAUGAAGGAGACUUUAACGAAA